rnacentral:rRNA from 1 species
UACGUAGGUGGCAAGCGUUGUCCGGAAUUACUGGGCGUAAAGCGUGCGCAGGCGGUUCGUUAAGUCAGAUGUGAAAGCCCCGGGCUCAACCUGGGAACUGCAUUUGAAACUGGCGGGCUUGAGUAUGGCAGAGGGGGGUGGAAUUCCGCGUGUAGCAGUGAAAUGCGUAGAUAUGCGGAGGAACACCGAUGGCGAAGGCAAUCCCCUGGGCCUGUACUGACGCUCAUGCACGAAAGCGUGGGGAGCAAACAGG